rnacentral:tRNA from 1 species
AAAGCCUUUUAUUAGAA